CAUCUGGGGCUGGUAAAACUAUUACGGCUUCACACCCAUGUCUGUCACCCUCCAGAACGUCUCUGUCCACCCGUCCUCACUCACAGGAUAGCCAUAUUUCUUUGCACUUAGGACUCUGAGAAGGCAAAAGUGGAAGCUGCAGUCUUCUAAGGCCUACAUUCUAGAACUCAGGUAAUUCACUUCUGUCACAUUUAUUCAUCAAGGUGCCUGCUACAUGCCAGACCCUGACCUGGGUGCUGAAACACAGCCGAGUGUCCUGGUGGGAUGUGAACACCCAGCAGUGCUGAGAUCCAGCCAGCCAGCUGGUGAUACGUUGGUAGCCAGAAACCAGCCGUGACGGGAGCCUUCACACCAAGGAAAUCACAAACACUACAGAGCCUCUCCCUCCCAGGAGAGCUGGUGGUCACCGGCACAUCCCUGCACCUGUGUCUCUGAGGGUGAACUUACACAGCCAGGAGGAGGUACAGCCACAGACCUGUGAGCAGAUCUUGAGUGUGUGGCUAUGGCCGUGGGGGGGACUGGCUGGGCUGUCCACAUGGGUCAGUCUUGAUGAUGACUUCCUUCCUCCAACCACCCACACUCAUGAGAGUGGGGAAGGCUGGGGUUGCCCGUCCUGGGCCAAAGUCUCUGGACCCCCACGUCCCACUCUUCUCUGAAUCGAAAACAUAAAUACCCACCCCUCACCCCUUCUUCCUGAAUAUCAGGCAGAUCAGCUUUCCCCCGGUUGGGGGGCCUACAGACCCUCAAGUCUCUGGGUCUUUGUCUUCAGUAUUGCCCGUAGUGGCUCUGCAGUUUCCUUUGGGGCUCCAGGGGUGCCAGCUGGGUCUCCAACCUUCAGGGGUGGCUGGGUUGUCGGCCCCUGGAGGUGCCCGCUGAGCUCUUCGCUCGCCGGGUUCUCGGUUCCCCAAGGCACCCUCUGAGGGAGGCAUCACUGUCACUCCUUUCUUACACCAUGAAGGCCCCAAAGUAGGAGCGGGUCCCGUCACGGAGCCGGACCAGGCGCUCAUCCGGCACACGGACGACCACCUCCUCGCCAGCGUCCAGGUGCACCACACCUCCCAGGAAGCUGCUGUCCCACCAGACGCGGGGGCCGGUGGCUCGCCCACAGGGUGACCGCCGACUGACCAGCAGCUCGAGCUCCUCGGGGUAGCGCGGUGUGCGUUUGUAGAGGCCAUGCGUGAUGGGCAGGCCGCUGGUCAGCCCCUGCGGGCAGCCCACGCCCCCCAGCUGCACCUUGGAGUAGAUGUAAUAGUAGCCAGCCCGGGCAAUCACCAGGGAGCCGUCACGGUAGCUGAGGCCCCUCAAGAAAGCCAAGCCCAGCUUUGUCUCCCAGAGCAGCGGGCCCCCGCUGCCCGUCAGGCUGGAGUUGGCACCUGGGGGCAGAGACAGAGGGGUCUGGUCAGCAUGUGUCCCUCUGCGGAUGGGCGGGGGCGACGACUCCCCUCCGUUUUAGGUUGGGGACUUUAUAUGUGUUAAUUCACUUUAUUCCCACUUUGAGGGGAGGGAACUGAGGCACCGAAAGGCCAAGUCACUUGCUUCUUACGCCCUCCCCUUGCAGGUGGGGAAACUGAGGCAUGGAGCCAUUAAGUGACCAGCCAAAAGCAUCAAAACUUGUGAGUGGCAUAACCAAGGAACAGAGGCAGAGCGCACCCCGGGCCAGAAGACUUGUAAUCUCCAUGCUCUUUGGUUUUUCUCCAUUAAAAUGGACAUAUGAA